GUGCCAGCCGCCGCGGUAAUACCGGCAGCCCGAGUGAUGGCCGCUAUUAUUGGGCCUAAAGCGUCCGUAGCUGGCCAGACAGGUCCGUCGGGAAAUCCGUCCGCUUAACGGAUGGGCGUCCGGCGGAAACCAGCUGGCUUGGGGCCGGAAGACCUGAGGGGUACGUCCGGGGUAGGAGUGAAAUCCUGUAAUCCUGGACGGACCGCCGGUGGCGAAAGCGCCUCAGGAGGACGGACCCGACGGUGAGGGACGAAAGCUAGGGUCACGAACCGGAUUAGAAACCCCAGUAGUCC
rnacentral:rRNA from 1 species